AAGUCGUAACAAGGUUUCCGUAGGUGAACCUGCGGAAGGAUCAUUAUUGAAUGAAUUUAGAGUUGGUUGUUGCUGGCCCCACAAAAGCAAGGGGCAAGUGCACGCCUUCUCUUUUCAUCCACACACACCUGUGCACUUGUGAGACGGAGGAUUUGAAAAAAAAAAAGUCCUCUGUCUACUAAUCACACAAACUCGAUUGUACUUUAACUGAAUGUAAUUGAUGUAACACAUCAUUGGAACAAAGUUUCAACAACGGAUCUCUUGGCUCUC
rnacentral:misc_RNA from 1 species